GUGACUGUGAGGUACUUUCCUUGAUUUUAAAGCUUGCUUUCCAGGAGCUGGAAGCUACGAUGGAGCAGAAGGGGGUCUGGAUACUUUCACUCAUUUUAAUUUUAGGACUUGGUGCAUUGGCCGAUGACAAGAAAGCUCCACCGGAAUGCCGAUGUCACAUUGAUCCCAAAGCAAGAGUUAACUGUGGACCUCCUGGAAUCACUCCCCAGCAAUGCCGGGAUGCUGGGUGCUGCUUCAGUUCUGAAGUUGCAGGAGUCCCCUGGUGCUUUGCUCCAAGCCCCCCAAA